UACGGGGGGAGCAAGCGUUGUUCGGAUUUACUGGGCGUAAAGGGCGCGUAGGCGGCCACCGCAAGUCAGUUGUGAAAUCUCUGGGCUUAACCCAGAACGGUCAGCUGAUACUGCGGGGCUAGAGUGCAGAAGGGGCAACUGGAAUUCUCGGUGUAGCGGUGAAAUGCGUAGAUAUCGAGAGGAACACCUGCGGCGAAGGCGGGUUGCUGGGCCGACACUGACGCUGAAGCGCGAAAGCCAGGGGAGCGAACGGG
rnacentral:rRNA from 1 species